UUGAACCACCGGUUCCCGUACCUAAGUUAAACAACGUCGAGCCUGGGCAGUACUUAGAUGGGUAACUGCUUAGGAAUACCAGGUGCUAUA